CCCUUAGAUGUUCUGGGCCGCACGCGCGCUACACUGACGAAUUCAACGAGCUUAUAACCUUGGCCGAAAGGUCUAGGUAAUCUCCAAAAUUCGUCGUGAUGGGGAUAGAUUAUUGCAAUUAUUAAUCUUCAACGAGGAAUGCCUAGUAAGCGCAAGUCAUCAGCUUGCGUUGAUUACGUCCCUGCCCUUUGUACACACCGCCCGUCGCUCCUACCGAUUGGGUGUGCUGGUGAAAUGUUCGGAUCGGCCGUUUGUCGCGGUUUCCGCGGCUCGUGGCUGAGAAGUUCAUUAAACCCUCCCACCUAGAGGAAGGAGAAGUCGUAACA
rnacentral:rRNA from 1 species